UCGCGAAAACUUUGCAAUAAGCGAAAGCUUGACAGGGCUAUCCCGAGUGCCAUCCGCUGAGGAAGGCUUUUACCCAGUCUAGAACGCUGGGGGAAUAAGGAGAGGGCAAGUCUGGUGUCAGCCGCCGCGGUAAUACCAGCUCUCCGAGUGGUGUGGAUGUUUAUUGGGCCUAAAGCAUCCGUAGCUGGCUAGGUUAGUCCCCUGUUAAAUCCACCGAAUUAAUCGUUGGAUUGCGGGGGAUACUGCUUGGCUAGGGGACGAGAGAGGCAGACGGUAUUUUCGGGGUAGGG
rnacentral:rRNA from 1 species